UAACACGUAGGGGGCAAGCGUUGUCCGGAUUUAUUGGGCGUAAAGAGCUCGUAGGUGGUUCAGUAAGUCGGGUGUGAAACCUCCAGGCUCAACCUGGAGACGCCACCCGAUACUGCUGUGACUAGAGUCCAGUAGGGGAGCAUGGAAUUCCUGGUGUAGCGGUGAAAUGCGCAGAUAUCAGGAGGAACACCAGUGGCGAAGGCGGUGCUCUGGGCUGGAACUGACACUGAGGAGCGAAAGCGUGGGGAGCGAACAGGAUUAGAUACCCUGGUAGUCCACGCCGUAAACGUUGGGUACUAGGUGUGGGGUCUUAUCAACGGAUUCCGUGCCGCAGCUAACGCAUUAAGUACCCCGCCUGGGGAGUACGGCCGCAAGGCUA
rnacentral:rRNA from 1 species